AUUUCUCAGGUCACCACAUGAACUGUGACAUAGUUUCUCAAAUGUUGCUAUAGCCUAUGAACAUUAUCAGCCUCAGAAAGCUCUUAUUUUGGCCCUGUAAAAGAGAUGAGAGAACUGGAAGCAAAACCUGGCUCAUUCAAAGCAAUCACUUAAGACCGAGGUCAGGAUUGGAAGCCUUUAAGGAAACAAGAAAGUGCAAUAGCUCUUCAGGAAAAAGAAAAAAGAACUGAAAGAGGGGCUUACGCUCCGCCUGCAUUAACAACACCAAACAACACUGAAGGCCCAUUUGCUUUCUGCGGUCCAUUGGCGAGGAGAAAACUGCCUGCUCACCGAUGCUGCAGCUGGUCUCACAAAGCAGCAGCCUGGAAGAGAAAACCCACUCACAAUUCAGUGCCUUCAGGUAGUUUUAGAGAACUAGUGAGACCCACACACCUAAAUUUGUCUCCAGCAUCAAGGUCUAAGAGAAAAAUCCCAGCAAAGUGCCCAGUGCAGUCCUGGAUUUUUCAAGCAUAG
rnacentral:lncRNA from 1 species